rnacentral:rRNA from 1 species
GAUGAACGCUGGCGGCGUGCCUAAUACAUGCAAGUCGAGCGAACGGACGAGAAGCUUGCUUCUCUGAUGUUAGCGGCGGACGGGUGAGUAACACGUGGAUAACCUACCUAUAAGACUGGGAUAACUUCGGGAAACCGGAUCUAAUACCGGAUAAUAUUUUGAACCGCAUGGUUCAAAAGUUAAAGACGGUCUUGCUGUCACUUAUAGAUGGAUCCGCGCUGCAUUAGCUAGUUGGUAAGGUAACGGCUUACCAAGGCAACGAUGCAUAGCCGACCUGAGAGGGUGAUCGGCCACACUGGAACUGAGACACGGUCCAGACUCCUACGGGAGGCAGCAGUAGGGAAUAUUCCGCAAUGGGCGAAAGCCUGACGGAGCAACGCCGCGUGAGUGAUGAAGGUCUUCGGAUCGUAAAACUCUGUUAUUAGGGAAGAACAUAUGUGUAAGUAACUGUGCACAUCUUGACGGUACCUAAUCAGAAAGCCACGGCUAACUACGUG